rnacentral:rRNA from 1 species
UACGUAGGUGACCAGCGUUGUCCGGAUUUACUGGGCGUAAAGAGCGCGCAGGCGGUCGUUCAAGUCGAGUGUGAAAGCCCCCGGCUCAACUGGGGAGGGUCAUUCGAUACUGAUCGACUGGAAGGCAGGAGAGGGAAGCGGAAUUCCCGGUGUAGUGGUGAAAUGCGUAGAUAUCGGGAGGAACACCAGUGGCGAAGGCGGCUUCCUGGACUGUUCUUGACGCUGAGGCGCGAAAGCUAGGGGAGCAAACGGG